AGAGAAGAAAUGUUGCAGCUGGAUUCAAAGCUUAACCCGUGCAGGGAGAAUCUCCACUUUCUGUAGGACCUUCUCCCUUGCUGCUUCCCAGAAUGGCUGCUUUCAGUGAACUUUUAGCUGACAAAAGUCAAGAUGCCCCUCCCGUAAAGAUGGAAGUAAAUCCAGAAUUUGAAGAGGGACACAAGAGAAAUGGAGGAUCUGGGGGAAGCCAGUUGUGCUUCUUAAGGCCUCCCUGUUGAGAGACUCAUGCCAGUGAACUUGGAAGCAGAUCUCCUAAAGCCUCUCAACAGCUACAGAAAUUAACUUGAAAGGAGAUCCUCUAACCAGCUGAGGCUUGAGAUGACUGCAGCCCUGGCCAGGACCUCAGUCGCAGGCUGUGAGAGUCCUGGAGCCAAAAUCACCCAGAGAAGCUACUCCUGGAUUCCCAACACAGACCAUUGAAAUAAUAAAUGUUUAUUGCUUUAACCUCUAA